rnacentral:misc_RNA from 1 species
GAAAAGCACGCGUGCACCAUCUGCAAACGCGAGUUCCUGUGGAAGUCGAACCUGGCCACACACGAGGCUAGACACGCGGACGAGGGAGGCAAGCGGUUCACUUGCACGGUGUGCGGCAAGGGGUUCGGCUGGCGCAGCAACCUGAACAAGCACAUGGAAACACACGAUGCCAGCACGCCCAAGCACCAGUGCCCCGAAUGCAAUCACAAGUUCGCCAGCAAGAGUGGUCUUACUAUGCAUAUGGCCAAGCACUACGAUCAGGGCAGGUUUGUCUGCCAUGUUUGCAACAAAUCUUUCACGUGGAAGGCCAACUACAACGUGCAUAUGGCCUCCAAACACCCCGACGUCGACCGCAGUGCCUACUAUUCAUCUUCCUCAUCCUCUUCCUCAUCAACAUCCGAUCAUCACACCUUCCAUCCUCCGCCACAUCAGCUGAUUGAGCAGAAGACCUUCACCGACCUUGACUCGCCGGAAAAUCUGGAGGCCAACCGAUCAGCUGCUGCUUCACCGUUUGUCGUUGAGGACCAGAAAAUCCAAAAUGGCGGCUCAUUUGUCACAUCUGACCAGAAAAUGCAGAAUGGAAUGCGUGCCACCUGUGAACUGGCCUAUCCGAGUCCAGCAGCCUACUCAAUGCAGAUGGGGAAGGAUGCCUGUGAAUCAGUCUCGUCUGCCAGCAGGAUGAUGCCCAACUGUGAAUCGGUCUCGUCUCCCAAUAGAUUGAUGCCCAACUGUGAACCAAUCUCGUCUCCCGGUAGAUUGAUGCCCAACUGUGAACUAGUCUCGUCUGCCAGUAGGAUGAUGCCCAACUGUGAAUCGGUCUCGUCUGCCAGUAGGAUGAUGCCCAACUGUGAACCAAUCUCGACUGCCAGUAGGAUGAUGCCCAACUGUGAACCAGUCUCAUCUCCCAAUAGAUUGAUGCCCAACUGUGAACCAGUCUCGUCUGCCAGUAGGAUGAUGCCAAACUGUGAACCAGUCUCAUCUCCCAAUAGAUUGAUGCCCAACUGUGAACCAGUCUCAUCUCCCAAUAGAUUGAUGCCCAACUGUGAACCAGUCUCAUCUCCCAUUAGAUUGAUGCCCAACUGUGAACCAGUCUCAUCCCCCAAUAGAUUGAUGCCCAACUGUGAAUCGGUAUCCAAUAGAUUGGCAGCUAGUAGUGAAGCAAUGAAUUUGAGUGCUGCUCAUCUUCAGAUGUCGGCCUAUCACAGCAUGAACACACAUGCACUGGCUAGCUGAAAGCGAUACUGGCUGUGAAUCGGUCUUCGGUGAUGAUUUGUGGACUAUGCAUCAGUGUGAACUGGUCUUUAGGUAAAUAUUGUGUAAAGUGUCUGAUUGUGAACUGUUCUUGAAACAAAGCUUUGCGAGUGGCUUACUGUGAACUGGACUACAGACAAAACACGAAAAGUGUCCCAGUGUGAACUGGUAUUGAGAUAUGACUUGGGAAGUGGCUCAGUGUGAUCUGGACUAGGGACAAACUUGUAAAGUGUCCCAGUGUGAACUGAGCUUCAUAUGACUUGGAAGUGGAAGUGGCACAGUGUGAUCUGGACUUGGGACAAACUUGUAAAGUGUCCCAGUGUGAACUGAGCUUCAUAUGACUUGGAAGUGGAAGUGGCUCAGUGUGAUCUGGACUUGGGACAAACUUGUAAAGUGUCCAGUGUGAACUGAGCUUCAUAUGACUUGGAAGUGGAAGUGGCACAGUGUGAUCUGGAC